UACGAAGGGGGCCAGCGUUGUUCGGAAUUACUGGGCGUAAAGCGCACGUAGGCGGACUUUUAAGUCAGGUGUGAAAUCCCGGGGCUCAACCUCGGAACUGCAUUUGAAACUGGAAGUCUUGAGACCAGGAGAGGUUAGCAGAAUACCGAGUGUAGAGGUGAAAUUCGUAGAUAUUCGGUGGAACACCAGUGGCGAAGGCGGCUAACUGGACUGGUACUGACGCUGAGGUGCGAAAGUGUUGGGAGCAAACAGG
rnacentral:rRNA from 1 species